rnacentral:lncRNA from 11 species
GGAACAACAAUAAUAAAAUGCUAUCUCAUGGCACUUUGCAAUGGGGGGAACAACAAGCACAUGCCACUUUUUCAUUUAUCACACCAGGCUGGAUUUAGAGUCUUUAUAAGAUAUCCAGGGCAUGCACCAAGGACACGUGGUACAUGCAAAGUGGAAAGUGACAGAAACUAUGAAUGGAGGCAGAGCAAAGGACUCCCUUGAAAUAUGUGGACUAAGAUGUUGGAAGUACCUCAGAGAGAUAUUUUUGAAGGGAAAGAUGAUGAUAAAAAGAUUUCGCUUUUCCACCCCGCCCUGCCAUUCAACCCUCUGGGCAGGUAUUUUUGUUAUGAGAAGAAAUGACUAGGCAACUAGAGCAAACAGAGAUGACCUGAAUCAGGGAUGAUGACACACGCCUGAUAAAUAAAUAAAUAAAUAAAUGCAUAAAUAAAUACUUUUGU